AUGAUUCAUUCAUUCACCAUGCCAAUUUCUAGACACAUUUCAAAGGACUUGUUACAAAUGAACCAUUAUAUCAAAAAGUGUUCAUCAAUCCUACAAAAUUACUAUGGUUACAUCAUGUUUUUAAGAUUAAAGGCAAACUCAAAUAGAAUCCCUAAUCUAGCAAGUCUACUUCUAUGGUUUCUAAGAGAGAUUUCCCUUUUAUAUUCCUUGUGA